rnacentral:lncRNA from 1 species
UCCUGUACCACUGCUUGAAGAAGGUGUCUUCCAGGAACUGGCAGUAGGACUGGGAGUUGAGCUUGACUCCAUCCUCAACCCGAAAAGGCCCCACAAGCUCAUCUUUGAUGAUACCAGCCCAAACCAGUACUCCACCUCCACCUUGCUGGCGUCUGAGUCGGACUGGAGCUCUCUGCCCUUUACCAAUCCAGCCACUGGCCCAUCAAGACUCACUCUCAUUUCAUCAGUCCAUAAAACCUUAGAAAAAUCAGUCUUGAGAUAUUUCUUGGCCCAGUCUUGACGUUUCAGCUUGUGUGUCUUGUUCAGUGGUGGUCGUCUUUCAGCCUUUCUUACCUUGGCCAUGUCUCUGAGUAUUGCACACCUUGUGCUUUUGGGCACUCCAGUG